rnacentral:rRNA from 1 species
GAUGAACGCUGGCGGCGUGCCUAAUACAUGCAAGUCGAGCGAACAGACGAGGAGCUUGCUCCUCUGACGUUAGCGGCGGACGGGUGAGUAACACGUGGAUAACCUACCUAUAGGACUGGGAUAACUUCGGGAAACCGGAGCUAAUACCGGAUAAUAUAUUGAACCGCAUGGUUCAAUAGUGAAAGACGGUUUUGCUGUCACUUAUAGAUGGAUCUGCGCCGCAUUAGCUAGUUGGUAAGGUAACGGCUUACCAAGGCAACGAUGCGUAGCCGACCUGAGAGGGUGAUCGGCCACACUGGAACUGAGACACGGUCCAGACUCCUACGGGAGGCAGCAGUAGGGAAUCUUCCGCAAUGGGCGAAAGCCUGACGGAGCAACGCCGCGUGAGUGAUGAAGGUCUUCGGAUCGUAAAACUCUGUUAUUAGGGAAGAACAAAUGUGUAAGUAACUAUGCACGUCUUGACGGUACCUAAUCAGAAAGCCACGGCUAACUACGUG